UGCCGGGUAGCUAAGUGCGGAAGAGAUAAGUGCUGAAAGCAUCUAAGCACGAAACUUGCCAAGAGAUGAGUUCUCCCUGUUUUUAAGACAGUAAGGGUUGUUUAAGACUAAGACGUAGAUAGGUCUGGUGUGUAAUCGGUGCGAGCCGUUGAGCUAACAGAUACUAAUUGCCCGAGAGGCUUAACUAU
rnacentral:rRNA from 1 species